rnacentral:rRNA from 1 species
CCUACGGGAGGCAGCAGUGAGGAAUAUUGGUCAAUGGACGAGAGUCUGAACCAGCCAAGUAGCGUGAAGAAUGACUGCCCUAUGGGUUGUAAACUUCUUUUAUAUGGGAAUAAAAUGUUCCACGUGUGGGAUUUUGUAUGUACCAUAUGAAUAAGGAUCGGCUAACUCCGUGCCAGCAGCCGCGGUAAUACGGAGGAUCCGAGCGUUAUCCGGAUUUAUUGGGUUUAAAGGGAGCGUAGGUGGAUUUUUAAGUCAGUUGUGAAAGUUUGCGGCUCAACCGUAAAAUUGCAGUUGAAACUGGCAGUCUUGAGUACAGUAGAGGUGGGCGGAAUUCGUGGUGUAGCGGUGAAAUGCUUAGAUAUCACGAAGAACUCCGAUUGCGAAGGCAGUUCACUGGACUGCAACUGACACUGAGGCUCGAAAGUGUGGGUAUCAAACAGGAUUAGAUACCCGAGUAGUC